rnacentral:tRNA from 10 species
GGGCGCGUAGCUCAGCGGUAGAGCACUCCCUUCACACGGGAGGGGUCACAGGUUCAAUCCCUGUCGUGCCCACCA